UACGUAGGGUGCAAGCGUUAAUCGGAAUUACUGGGCGUAAAGCGUGCGCAGGCGGUUUGGUAAGACAGAUGUGAAAAUCCCCCGGGCUCAACCUGGGAAUUGCAUUUGUGACUGCCCGACUAGAGUGUGUCAGAGGGGGUAGAAUUCCACGUGUAGCAGUGAAAUGCGUAGAGAUGUGGAGGAAUACCGAUGGCGAAGGCAGCCCCCUGGGAUAACACUGACGCUCAUGCA
rnacentral:rRNA from 1 species